AAACAACCCGUACAGGUUAUCAUCAUCUACUUACAACUCCCCUCCUUUAUAUAUACAAAUAAAAAAACUCUCAGCUCAGUCGUUCCCCUCCAGCAUCCUUAUCCAUCCGCACGCACCACUUCUUCCAUUAGCCGGCUGAUUAAGAUCUCGCUGCUUGCCAUCAUCAAAUUGAUUCUCAAACCAUCACGGCUGAUUCAUUCCUUCCCAUUUCUCUUCGUGUAGGUACUGGCACAGUUUACCGUUGAGCAGAGUGCGCGGACGCGUCCGUCGCAUUCUCAAGGAUGUGGAUUCUCGACGACCUCGUGGAGUCCGGCGGAGCGUUCUCAAGGGUUUCGGCCAAGAUGAUGACCUCUUCUUGGCGUACGGCUAGAGGUCCAUGGCAGAGGUGUUGUAGUUUGGCCCAGUGGAGGAGGCUGCGAGGGAAAUCAUCGAGUCAUGUACUGAGUGAGUUAUUAGAUCUGACAUCUAGAGAAUACAAAUAGCAGCCGACGACCAUGAGAUGCUAGCCUUCUCAUUGUUCUUGCUGUCAGGCUACCACUAACUGUUUGUUGAGCAGCUCACUUGUGCUAGCAAGACGCCAUGGAUUUGCUUAUAUCAAAUCCUGCUAUUAAGUUACAGAUGAAGCAAGGUCUUAUCUCGUAUCACAGAGAUUGAUAGUAUCAUUUAUUGGAAUUCUGAUGCAUUACCUAGUCUGACUGGUUUCCGUGCCUCAUUGUAGUCAGAAGUGAUUUUGCGCCAAUUCUUCCAAUGUCGCUUCGUCGGGCGUCGAGCGUGCUUACGCGUGACUUUGUGGGGCGUCGAGUGAAGCGGCUGGACGUGGCUUUUCGUCUGGACGUUGAGUUGCAUGUGGCGUGUUCAAGUCGCCGUGGUCGUUGGCUUGUAAUUGUUUGAUGGGUACUUUUGCAGCCGUGUGUACUUAUUUAUAUAUGGGUUUAGGUGUCUUGGUUUGUGGUGGCCGAGACCGGCUGAAAAUCAGAUGCCCACACCGUGUGCUAAUCAAACUUGUUUUGUUUGUUUGUAUUAGUUCCUGGAACUUUCCUCACGUGAGGGAGUUGUCCUUAUACGUUUAAUAUUAGGUUCCUUAUA